rnacentral:rRNA from 1 species
UACAGAGGGUGCGAGCGUUAAUCGGAAUUACUGGGCGUAAAGCGUGCGUAGACGGUAGCGUAAGUCAGAUGUGAAAGCCCCGGGCUCAACCUGGGAACUGCAUUUGAGACUGCUCUGCUCGGGUGCGGAAGAGGGAAGCGGAGUUUCCGGUGUAGCGGUGAAAUGCGUAGAUAUCGGAAGGAACACCAGUGGCGAAAGCGGCUUCCUGGUCCGACACCGACGUUCAGGCACGAAAGCGUGGGGAGCAAACAGG